rnacentral:rRNA from 1 species
UACGGGGGGGGCAAGCGUUGUUCGGAAUUACUGGGCGUAAAGGGCUUGUAGGUGGCCAACUAAGUCAGACGUGAAAUCCCUCGGCUUAACCGGGGAACUGCGUCUGAUACUGGAUGGCUAGAGUGUGGGAGAGGGAUGCGGAAUUCCAGGUGUAGCGGUGAAAUGCGCAGAUAUCAGGAGGAACACCGAUGGCGAAGGCAGGUCUCUGGGCCAUAACUGACGCUGAGAAGCGAAAGCAUGGGGAGCGAACAGG